CGGGUGACGAGUGGCGGACGGGUGAGUAAUGUCUGGGGAUCUGCCCGAUGGAGGGGGAUAACUACUGGAAACGGUAGCUAAUACCGCAUAACCUCGAAAGAGCAAAGUGGGGGACCUUCGGGCCUCACACCAUCGGAUGAACCCAGAUGGGAUUAGCUAGUAGGUGGGGUAACGGCUCACCUAGGCGACGAUCCCUAGCUGGUCUGAGAGGAUGACCAGCCACACUGGAACUGAGACGCGGUCCAGACUCCUACGGGAGGCAGCAGUGGGGAAUAUUGCACAAUGGGCGCAAGCCUGAUGCAGCCAUGCCGCGUGUAUGAAGAAGGCCUUCGGGUUGUAAAGUACUUUCAGCGGGGAGGAAGGGAUGAAGGUUAAUAACCUUCGUCAUUGACGUUACCCGCAGAAGAAGCACCGGCUAACUCCGUGCCAGCAGCCGCGGUAAUACGGAGGGUGCAAGCGUUAAUCGGAAUUACUGGGCGUAAAGCGCACGCAGGCGGUUUGUUAAGUCAGAUGUGAAAUCCCCGGGCUCAACCUGGGAACUGCAUUUGAAACUGGCAAGCUUGAGUCUCGUAGAGGGGGGUAGAAUUCCAGGUGUAGCGGUGAAAUGCGUACAGAUCUGGAGGAAUACCGGUGGCGAAGCGGCCCCCUGGACGAAGACUGACGCUCAGGUGCGAAAGCGUGGGGAGCACAGGAUUAGAUACCCUGGUAGUCCCGCGCCGUAAACCAUGUCACUUGGAGGUUGUGCCCUUGAG
rnacentral:rRNA from 1 species